UGGGGGAUAUUGCACAAUGGGCGAAAGCCUGAUGCAGCGACGCCGCGUGGGGGAUGAAGGCCUUCGGGUUGUAAACUUCUUUUGCUCUGAACAAGGCAUGCUAAUGGGUGUGUUGAGUGUAGGGGUUGAUUAGCGCCGGCUAACUACGUGCCAGCAGCCGCGGUAAUACGUAGGGCGCGAGCGUUGUCCGGAAUUAUUGGGCGUAAAGGGCUUGUAGGUGGCUGGUUGCGUCUGUCGUGAAAGCUCAUGGCUUAACUGUGGGUUUGCGGUGGGUACGGGCUGGCUUGAGUGCAGUAGGGGAGGCUGGAAUUCCUGGUGUAGCGGUGGAAUGCGUAGAUAUCAGGAGGAAUACCGGUGGCGAAGGCGGGUCUCUGGGCUGUUACUGACACUGAGGAGCGAAAGCAUGGGGAGCGAACAGG
rnacentral:rRNA from 1 species